rnacentral:rRNA from 1 species
GACGAACGCUGGCGGCGUGCUUAACACAUGCAAGUCGAGCGGUAAGGCCCUUUCGGGGGUACACGAGCGGCGAACGGGUGAGUAACACGUGGGUGACCUGCCCUCAGCUCUGGGAUAAGCCUGGGAAACCGGGUCUAAUACUGGAUAUGACUCCAUGACGCAUGUUGUGGGGUGGAAAGCCUUGUGCGGCUGAGGAUGGGCCCGCGGCCUAUCAGCUUGUUGGGGGGUGAUGGCCUACCAAGGCGACGACGGGUAGCCGGCCUGAGAGGGCGACCGGCCACACUGGGACUGAGACACGGCCCAGACUCCUACGGGAGGCAGCAGUGGGGAAUCUUGCGACAAUGGGCGAAAGCCUGACGCAGCGACGCCGCGUGA